rnacentral:pre_miRNA from 1 species
CAAAUACUCCCUCCGUCCGGAAAUACUUGUCAUCAAAAUGGAUAAAAGGAAAUGUAUCUAGACGUAUUUUAGUUUUAGAUACAUCUCUUUUUAUCCAUUUUGAUGACAAGUAUUUUCGGACGGAGGGAGUA